UACGGGGGGGGGCAAGCGUUGUUCGGAAUUACUGGGCGUAAAGGGCGCGUAGGCGGCCUUCUAAGUCAGACGUGAAAUCCCUCGGCUCAACCGAGGAACUGCGUCUGAUACUGGAAGGCUUGAAUCCGGGAGAGGGAUGUGGAAUUCCAGGUGUAGCGGUGAAAUGCGUAGAUAUCUGGAGGAACACCGGUGGCGAAGGCGGUUCUCUGGGCCUUACCUGACGCUGAGGAGCGAAAGCGUGGGGAGCGAACAGG
rnacentral:rRNA from 1 species